rnacentral:lncRNA from 1 species
UUCAUUUCACAUUUUCUCUUCUUUCAUCAUCGUUGUCAUCGUCGUCCUCGUCCUCGUCCUCGUCCUCGUCGUGUAUUAGUAUUCGUAAUCGUUAUUACCUAAGAAUCAUUCUCGUCGUUUUAAUCUCAUUAUCAUCGUCAUCGUCGUCAUCGUCAUCGUCGUCAUCAAUUUUGUGUGUGAACGCAUAUGCGGUAGCAGCAGCCAAUUGGACUAAACCAGAGAUAUAUUAUACACAAGAUAUGGUUUAACAGGAAAUCAUUGGCGGAGGUGACGGAUGCGGUGGAAAAAGAAGAAGGAAAGCUCAAAUACGGAAA